AGAGUUGAUCAUGGCUCAGGAUGAACGCUAGCUACAGGCUUAACACAUGCAAGUCGAGGGGCAGCAUGAUCAAAGCUUGCUUGAUGAUGGCGACCGGCGCACGGGUGAGUAACGCGUAUCCAACCUUCCCUAUAGUAGAGGAUAGCCCGGCGAAAGUCGGAUUAAUACUCUAUGUUUUCCAAUGCAGACAUCUAAAAUGGAACAAAGGUUUACCGCUAUAGGAUGGGGAUGCGUCUGAUUAGGUAGUCGGCGGGGUAACGGCCCACCGAGCCAUCGAUCAGUAGGGGUUCUGAGAGGAAGGUCCCCCACAUUGGAACUGAGACACGGUCCAAACUCCUACGGGAGGCAGCAGUGAGGAAUAUUGGUCAAUGGACGAGAGUCUGAACCAGCCAAGUAGCCGUGCAGGAUGACGGCCCUAUGGGUUGUAAACUGCUUUUAUGCGGGGAUAAAGUGGGGAACGUGUUCCCUUUUGUAGGUACCGCAUGAAUAAGGACCGGCUAAUUCCGUGCCAGCAGCCGC
rnacentral:rRNA from 1 species